rnacentral:rRNA from 1 species
UACGUAGGGGGCUAGCGUUAUCCGGAAUUACUGGGCGUAAAGGGUGCGUAGGUGGUUUCUUAAGUCAGAGGUGAAAGGCUACGGCUCAACCGUAGUAAGCCUUUGAAACUGGGGAACUUGAGUGCAGGAGAGGAGAGUGGAAUUCCUAGUGUAGCGGUGAAAUGCGUAGAUAUUAGGAGGAACACCAGUUGCGAAGGCAGCUCUCUGGGCCGUCACUGACGCUGAGGCGCGAAAGCUGGGGGAGCGAACAGG